UUGGGUGUCUGGGUUUUUCCCUCCCGACGCCAGAGGUCUAGGGGCCUAAGUCCCAGAGGAAAAUUUGAAGCGGCUCAGAUAGUAAAGAGUUUGCCUGCCAAGCAGGACACGAGGGUUCGAUCCCUGGGUUCGGAAGAUCCCCUGGAGAAAGAAAUGGCAACCCACUCCAGUAAUCUUGCCUGGAAAAUCCCAUGGAUGUAGGAGCCUGGCAGGUACAGUUCGUGUACAGUUCAUGGGGUCGCAAAGAGUCGGACACGACUGAGCGACUUCACUUUCACUUUCUGGCUAUGCUUCUUCCUCAUCGCUACCGUUUUUUUCUGAGAACCCCUUGGGGCAUAUGUGAGUGGGUGAAUAGACUGUCGAUAUAAUAGGAUAGUAACAGGUACAAAAUGAUAGAAAACAAAGGAGCCCUGGGAGUGACUGAGAGAAUCAAAGGAGGCCUCUUGGGGGAGGUCACCAAGGAUGUCAGGUUGAAGGAGUGUAUAUCUCGGGGGGACACAACCAUAGGAGGGGUUCAGGAGCCCUGGGGCAGGUCUGGUUGAUGGGGUGCUGAGACAAUAUCCUUAGCUAAAAUCCUGGUUGCCAGCUGGACUUGGAUAUGAGAUCUCGGACCCAUCAGUCUCUCUGAGCCUCUGGUUUUCCUUUGCGUAAAACUGGGACCGUCUUAACGUUAAUGACACUAGAUCACACAGCCUGGCACACAGUAGGUGCUCCAGAAAUGGCAGCCAUGGUUAUGGUCACAGGUUGGAGGGAAGACAUCUUGAGGAGGGGACGUCAGAGGGCAGGUGAGUCCCCCUUGCAGGUCUGUUCAGCAGGGAUGCAGGGACGCUGUCCGCUGAACAUCGAUGAGAACACUUGCUGUGUGCCAAAUGGGGUGGGCCAAUGAGAGAUGCUGCCCUGCUUGUGUUCAUGACGCUGAGCUCAGGGAUCACAGGACACAGGGAACUGUGCCCGUAUCUCAGCUCACAAUGAGGGGAGCAAAGUGUCGUCUCCAAAACUGUUGCAGUGCCUUUUCCUUGAAGACCAGGGGGCUAAAGACAAAGACAACUGUUUCCGCUGAUUUGGAACACAGAUCAGAGACAUGAGGACACAGAAGUGGAUUCUGUUGGGGCUGCAGAGGCCUCACUGGCCGGCUGAUGGCCCCCAGUCCCAUGACCCUGCCCCAGGAAUCCUCCUUCCACCCGUGGGCCCUUCAGCCCUCUUCCUGCCCUCGUGGGCUCUUCCCCAGCAGCUAUGGUCUCCUGGAGGUGGUGCCUGUGGGCCUCCGUCUGGGGCUUGCUCUCUUUAGGCCUCCUCUUCACAGAGAAGCUUGUGGCCUGGAGUCCGACCACAGCUGGGGUUCACAUGAUUCCUGGGGACCCAUCUAGCUCAUCCAGGAUAAUCUCUUCAUUUCAAGGGAUGGUUGGGGUGCCACUAUCACAAUCAUUCCUGGGCAUCAUGGCUUUUGCCGGACACCUCAGCUGAACCUCAGGAGCCUCCCAGUGGUGAAGACUUCAUGGGAUCCUUUUGAGAAACAGCAAAGUAAAGUCCCCCUGCAGUUCUUCUGUCUCCACCUUGAAAUGGUGGCCUAUGUUGAUAGAGUUACAGAUUCCACACUGAACUGGAAAUCAUGCUCUUCAAAGAUAAAGAAACUAAAACUUAGCGAGGUGAAUGACCUGCUGGAGGCAACACAGCCAGAAAGAGGUAGAGCUUGGAUCUUCAGUCCCUGGGCCCUUUGGAGCAGCUGUAGAGAGUUGUUGUUAAUGACUCCCAGCUGCCCCUUUGCUGGAGAUGGGCCCUCAGCCUAACAAGAGCCGUUCCCGGAAGGCUCCUUGCGUGACCUGGACAGACUGUGGCCAUGACCGGCUGAUGUGGUGCCAAAGGCCACCCCGAGCCUCAAGGCCUGCCCAGGUUCAAGGGCAGGAAACUCGAGCCCCACCACUUGAAAGAAGAGUGACAACUUCAUAGCAUAAGAAAAAUACACGGGACGGGAUGUAUGGCCACCAUCUUUGGAAAAUACUAUUGGCAAAAGAUAUGGAAGCAUCCUAAGUGCUCAUCAACAGAUGACUACAUGAAGAAGACGGUACAUAUACACAAUGAAAUAUUACUCAGUCCCCCAAAGAAUGAAAUUCUGCCAUUUGCAACAAUGUGGAUGGACUCAGAGAGUAUGUUGCUUAGUGCAAUAAGUCAAAGACAAAUAUUCUG